UACGUAGGGUGCGAGCGUUAAUCGGAAUUACUGGGCGUAAAGUGUGCGCAGGCGGCUCCGCAAGUCGAGUGUGAAAUCCCCGAGCUUAACUUGGGAAUUGCGCUCGAAACUAGGGAGCUGGAGUGUGGCAGAGGAAGGUGGAAUUCCACGUGUAGCGGUGAAAUGCGUAGAGAUGUGGAGGAACACCGAUGGCGAAGGCAG
rnacentral:rRNA from 1 species